rnacentral:siRNA from 1 species
AUAACUGAUGCCAUUGGAAUCCAC